GAUGAACGCUGGCGGCGUGCCUAAUACAUGCAAGUCGAGCGAACAGACGAGGAGCUUGCUCCUCUGACGUUAGCGGCGGACGGGUGAGUAACACGUGGAUAACCUACCUAUAAGACUGGGAUAACUUCGGGAAACCGGAGCUAAUACCGGAUAAUAUAUUGAACCGCAUGGUUCAAUAGUGAAAGACGGUUUUGCUGUCACUUAUAGAUGGAUCCGCGCCGCAUUAGCUAGUUGGUAAGGUAACGGCUUACCAAGGCAACGAUGCGUAGCCGACCUGAGAGGGUGAUCGGCCACACUGGAACGGAGACACGGUCCAGACUCCUACGGGAGGCAGCAGUAGGGAAUCUUCCGCAAUGGGCGAAAGCCUGACGGAGCAACGCCGCGUGAGUGAUGAAGGUCUUCGGAUCGUAAAACUCUGUUAUUAGGGAAGAACAAAUGGGUAAGUAACUAUGCACGUCUUGACGGUACCUAAUCAGAAAGCCACGGCUAACUACGUG
rnacentral:rRNA from 1 species